AACGAACGCUGGCGGUGUGCUUAACACAUGCAAGUCGAACGCGAAAGGGACUUCGGUCCUGAGUAAAGUGGCGCACGGGUGAGUAACGCGUAGAUAACCUGUCUUCAUGUCUGGAAUAAUACGCCGAAAGGGGUACUAAUACCGGAUAUUCUUGCUUUUCAUAAGUUAUGCAAGCAAAGGUGGCCUCUGCAUAUGCUACUGCAUGAAGAGGGGUCUGCGUACCAUUAGCUAGUAGGUGGGGUAAUGGCCUACCUAGGCGACGAUGGUUAGCGGGUCUGAGAGGAUGAUCCGCCACACUGGCACUGGAACACGGGCCAGACUCCUACGGGAGGCAGCAGUGAGGAAUAUUGCGCAAUGGGGGAAACCCUGACGCAGCGACGCCGCGUGAGUGAGGAAAGGCCUUCGGGUCGUAAAGCUCUGUCAAGAGGAAAGAAGUGUACAAUGGCUAAUACCUGUUGUAUUUGACGGUACCUCUAAAGGAAGCACCGGCUAACUCCGUGCCAGCAGCUGC
rnacentral:rRNA from 1 species